ACCGGGGGCGGUACCCGGCGCCUCCACCAAAGUAUAAUCAACAAAGAUUAUAUUUUUAUGGGGGCGAAACAGGAUCGACAAGGGUGUAAAGAUUGCUCUUUUACUCGGCAUUGUACCACCGUUAUCGGGCUAGAUGAAUAGUUGCAAAUGACAACUAUGCGGAGGCACGUCUCAUCGCUGCUUAAGCGAUGCGAAGGCUUCAAAUUAAGUCUUAAACCGUCGCAGGUUUAAGCGGGGUUCAAAGGCACCUGGAGACAGAAGCCAA
rnacentral:tmRNA from 1 species